ACGGGUGAGAAACGCGUAGGAAUCUGCCUUAUAGAGGGGGACAACUAGAGGAAACUCUAGCUAAUACCGCAUAAUGUCUGCGGACCAAAGGCUGGGUAGCAAUACCUGGCGCUAUAAGAGGAGCCUGCGUCCGAUUAGCUAGUUGGUAGGGUAAAGGCCUACCAAGGCGAUGAUCGGUAGCUGGUCUGAGAGGAUGAUCAGCCACACUGGGACUGAGACACGGCCCAGACUCCUACGGGAGGCAGCAGUGGGGAAUAUUGGACAAUGGGGGCAACCCUGAUCCAGCAAUACCGCGUGUGUGAAGAAGGCCUUCGGGUUGUAAAGCACUUUAGGUUGGGAAGAAGGUGUAUUGUUUAAGAGAUGAUACAUUUGACGGUACCGACAGAAUAAGCACCGGCUAACUCUGUGCCAGCAGCCGCGGUAAUACAGAGGGUGCAAGCGUUAAUCGGAGUUACUGGGCGUAAAGGGCGCGUAGGCGGUUAUUUAAGUGAGAUGUGAAAUCCCUGGGCUUAACCUAGGAACUGCAUCUUAUACUGGGUAACUGGAGUACUGUAGAGGGUAGUGGAAUUUCCGGUG
rnacentral:rRNA from 1 species